AUUGAACGCUGGCGGAAUGCUUUACUCAUGCAAGUCGAACGAUGAAGCCUAGCUUGCUAGGUCGAUUAGUGGCGAACGGGUGAGUAAUAUAUCGGAACGUAUCCAAUAAUGGGGGAUAACUAGUCGAAAGAUUGGCUAAUACCGCAUACGUCCUACGGGAGAAAGCUGGGGAUCGUAAGACCUGGGGUUAAUGGAGCGGCCGAUAUCUGAUUAGCUAGUUGGUGAGGUAAAGGCUCACCAAGGCGACGAUCAGUAGCUGGUCUGAGAGGACGACCAGCCACACUGGAACUGCGACACGGUCCAGACUCCUACGGGAGGCAGAAGUGGGGAAUGUUGGACAAUGGGCGAAAGCCUGAUCCAGCCAUUCCGCGUGAGUGAAGAAGGCCUUCGGGUUGUAAAGCUCUUUCGCAAGGGAAGAACACUUACUUAAUAACACUAAGUGAGGUUGACGGUACCUUGAUAAGAAGCACCGGCUAACUACGUGCCAGCCGCCGCCGUAAGAC
rnacentral:rRNA from 1 species